rnacentral:lncRNA from 1 species
ACAACAACAACAAUAAUUAUAACAGGUUGUCCAAAUACCGGCGACAGAGGACGUUUUGGGAACGGAUUUUACGCACGUCUGUUUGACGCGUGCGCGUUAGCGUUUCAGCGUCCGCAUGUGCAUCCACACGGGCAAAAGGGACACGGCUGCCACCUACCGACACGCUUAGAUCUUCGGGAGCGGGAGACCCUGGAAGCGUGGUCAACAAUACAGUCGACACAAGCAGAAAGUUUCUAGAACCCACAUGUACAUUUCCUAGAAAGCAGUGACAGAUCGACUCGACCAGAUUGGCAGCUGACACCGCUCCGCUGACCGCCGAGGAGCCGUGGUUCCCUGGGAGGGUGCCGCCAGCCGCCCCUGUCCCUGACCAGCGUUGGCUUCUUGUUCCACAGGGUCCAAAUGCACAUGAUGGCUUUUCUGUAUGGCCGAGGAUACCUGCCCC